GACGAACGCUGGCGGCGUGCUUAACACAUGCAAGUCGAACGGAAAGGCCCUGCUUUUGUGGGGUGCUCGAGUGGCGAACGGGUGAGUAACACGUGAGUAACCUGCCCUUGACUUUGGGAUAACUUCAGUAAACUGGGGCUAAUACCGGAUAUGAGCUCCUUCUGCAUGGUGGGGGUUGGAAAGUUUCGGCGGUUGGGGAUGGACUCGCGGCUUAUCAGCUUGUUGGUGGGGUGGUGGCUUACCAAUGCUUUGACGGGUAGCCGGCCUGAGAGGGUGACCGGCCACAUUGGGACUGAGGUACGGGCCAGACUCCUACGGGAGGCAGCAGUGGGGAUUAGUGCACGAUGGGCGGAAGCCGUAUGCAGCAUCUCCGCGUGCGGGAUGACGGCCUUCGGGUUGUAACCCGCGUUCGCCUGUGACGCAGCGUGAGUGACGGUAAUGGGUAAAGAAGCACCGGCUAACUACGUG
rnacentral:rRNA from 1 species